rnacentral:misc_RNA from 1 species
UGACACAAGAAGCAAAUGAAGUUAGUGUACACAACACGGAAACCUGAAAAAAUGAGGUAGAAUGAGGUAUUACUGAUGGAUUUGUAGAGUGUUUGGAUGAUCGAUGGCGAGAACCUUCAUUGAGAUCAGAAGACUCUUUGAUCCCAUCAUCUUUAACUGCUACAUUCUCAGAUGGUUUCCUUGGAGUUCUUUCUGACUUCGAAUCUUGCACUGACGGAGCAUCAAGAGGCACAUCAUCUUGCAGACGGCGAUGGUGUUUUAAAUCCCGUUCUGAAUUGUUUUCACUAUCUAAAUUGUGUGUGGUAGGUGGUCUCUCAGUUUCUUGUCUACUUUGUCUCCUUGAUCUCUUUGGACUGGGUUCUUGAUCGAACCGGGAACGGUGACGUUUCGAGUCGGAAUCGCGACCCUCUCGACGAGACGACAUUAGGGUAAAUCGGAGAAGAUAACUUGGCUAAAG